GAGGAAAAGAAACCAACAGGGAUUGCCUUAGUAGCGGCGAGUGAAGCGGCAAAAGCUCAAAUUUGAAAUCUGGCACUUUCAGUGUCCGAGUUGUAAUUUGAAGAAGGUAUCUUUGGGUCUGGCUCUUGUCUAUGUUUCUUGGAACAGAACGUCACAGAGGGUGAGAAUCCCGUGCGAUGAGAUGUCCCAGACCUAUGUAAAGUUCCUUCGAAGAGUCGAGUUCGUUUGGGAAUGCAGCUCUAAGUGGGUGGUAAAUUCCAUCUAAAGCUAAAUAUUGGCGAGAGACCGAUAGCGAACAAGUACAGUGAUGGAAAGAUGAAAAGAACUUUGAAAAGAGAGUGAAAAAGUACGUGAAAUUGUUGAAAGGGAAGGGCUUGAGAUCAGACUUGGUAUUUUGUAUGUUACUCUCUCGGGGGUGGCCUCUACAGUUUACCGGGCCAGCAUCAGUUUGAGCGGUAGGAUAAGUGCAAAGAAAUGUGGCACUGCUUCGGUAGUGUGUUAUAGUCUUUGUCGAUACUGCCAGCUUAGACUGAGGACUGCGGCUUCGGCCUAGGAUGUUGGCAUAAUGAUCUUA
rnacentral:rRNA from 1 species